rnacentral:rRNA from 1 species
UACAGAGGGGGCAAGCGUUGUUCGGAAUUACUGGGCGUAAAGGGCGCGUAGGCGGCCCGCUAAGUCGAACGUGAAAUCCCCGAGCUCAACUCGGGAACUGCGUCCGAUACUGGUGGGCUUGAAUCCGGGAGAGGGAUGCGGAAUUCCAGGUGUAGCGGUGAAAUGCGUAGAUAUCUGGAGGAACACCGGUGGCGAAGGCGGCAUCCUGGACCGAAACUGACACUGAGGCGCGAAAGCGUGGGGAGCAAACAGG